rnacentral:lncRNA from 1 species
GGAACUCUCCAAGGCGAAAAUGAACGCCAAAAGCUUUCUGAUUGCCUUCAUGGUCUGCGCCAUCUUAGUGGCAGGUGCCGCUGCGUGCGGUGGUGAAGGCCGCUCGGAGUCCGGCCGUUGCGGUGGAAGCGAGGGGCGCAGCGAUCAUGGAACAGUGGAAGCGCGCCAGGAAAGCGAAACUUCUGGCCGCUGUGGUGGAAGUUCUGGGCGUUGCGAUGGCUAAUUACCCGCCAAAAAACAUCUUCAGCACUAAACUCUAACUAUGUGGUGGUAGGUUUGCAGGUAAUGCAGGAGCUCGACACAGCUUGAAAUGAAUACACGCAAAAUAAAGAUGCUUAUUUUCA